UGGUGUGUAACUCAGCUGGUAGAGUAAUAGGCUUUUAACCUAGAAGUGGUUGGUUCAAUUCCAACUAUACCAA
rnacentral:tRNA from 1 species